GAUGGGGCUGGGAUGGUGCCGCGGUUCCUUGGGCUGUUCUGAUCUUGUUCUCAUUCCCCUCCCAUCCCCAUUCCCACAUUCCCAUUCCCAUCCCCAUUCCCACAUUCCCAUUCCCAUCCCCAUCCCAUCCCAUUCCCACAUCCCCAUCCCAUCCCAUCCCCAUUCCCAUUCCCAUCCCAUCCCAUCCCAUCCCAUUCCCAUGGAUCCCAUUCCCAUUCCCAUUCCCAUUCCCAUCCCCAUUCCAUUCCCCAUUCCCAUUCCCACAUUCCCCAUCCCCAUUCCCACAUCCCCAUUCCCAUUCCCAUCCCAUCCCAUCCCAUGGAUCCCAUUCCCAUCCCCAUUCCCACAUUCCCACAUUCCCAUCCCCAUCCCCAUCCCAUUCCCAAUCCCAUCCCCAUUCCCACAUUCCCCAUUCCCAUCCCCAUCCCAUUCCAUCCCAUGGAUCCCAUCCCCAUUCCCAUCCCCAUUCCCACAUCCCCAUCCCCAUCCCCAUCCCAUGGAUCCCAUUCCCAUUCCCACAUUCCCACAUUCCCACAUUCCCAUCCCCAUCCCAUCCCAUCCCCAUCCCCAUCCUCAUUCCCAUUCCCAUCCCAUUCCAUCCCAUCCCAUGGAUCCCAUCCCCAUUCCCACAUCCCCAUCCCCAUCCCCACAUCCCCAUCCCAUUCCCAUUCCCAUUCCCACAUUCCCAUUCCCCAUCCCCAUUCCCAUUCCCCAUUCCCAUUCCCAUUCCCCAUUCCCAUUCCCAUUCCCAUUCCCCAUCCCCAUUCCCAUUCCCAUCCCAUCCCAUCCCAUGUAUUCCAUCCCCAUCCCCAUCCCCAUUCCCAUCCCAUGGAUCCCAUUCCCACAUUCCCACAUCCCCAUUCCCAUGGAUCCCAUCCCCAUCCCCAUUCCCAUUCCCAUCCCCACCCCGUUCCCGGGGCAGGGAUUCCCGCCGGGAUCGCCGUGCGGUGUCUCCGGACGUGAUCGUUCUGUCGGACACCGAGGCCGGGAGCCCCCGGCUGAACGGGCUGGACCCCGCAGGGCCCCCCCAGCCCGGAGCCGGCCUCCUGGUGAGCCCCAAAACCCGGGAAUGGC
rnacentral:lncRNA from 1 species